rnacentral:tRNA from 1 species
UCCCUGGUAGCUCAGUUGGUAGAGCAAGCGGCUGUUAACCGCUGGGUCGUAGGUUCGAGUCCUACCCGGGGAGC